rnacentral:rRNA from 1 species
CCUAGGAACUCGGCAAAAUUACCCCGUAACUUAGGGAGAAGGGGAGCCACAGCGAUGUGGCCGCAGUGAAAAGGCCCAGGCGACUGUUUAGCAAAAACACAGGUCUCUGCAAAACCGAAAGGUGAAGUAUAGGGGCUGACGCCUGCCCGGUGCCGGAAGGUCAAGGGGAAGUGUUAGAGCAAUCGAACCACAGAACUUAAGCCCCGGUCAACGGCGGCCGUAACAAUAACGGUCCUAAGGUAGCGAAAUUCCUUGUCAGGUAAGGUCUGACCCGCACGAAUGGCGUAACGAUCUGGGCACUGUCUCAACAGCCCGCCCGGCGAAAUUGUAGUACCGGUAAAGAUGCCGGUUACCCGCGAUCAGACGGAAAGACCCCGUGGAGCUUUACUGCAGCUUGAUACUGAGCCUCGGUAUGUUAUGUACAGGAUAGGUGGGAGACAGAGAAGCACAGGCGUCAGCUUGUGUGGAGUCGCCGUUGGGAUACCACUCUUGACGUACUGAGGUUCUAACCUACGGUGGAAGCACGCCGGGGGACAAUGUCAGGCGGGCAGUUUGACUGGGGCGGUCGCCUCCAAAAGAGUAACGGAGGCGCUCAAAGGUUGGCUCAGCACGGACGGAAAUCGUGCAGAGAGUGUAAACGCAGAAGCCAGCCUAACUGUGAGACCAACAAGUCGAGCAGUAACGAAAGUUGGAGUUAGUGCUCAGGUGGUAGUGAGUGGAAAUGCCAUCGCUUAACGGAUAAAAGCUACCCUGGGGAUAACAGGCUGAUCUCCCCCAAGAGUUCACAUCGACGGGGAGGUUUGGCACCUCGAUGUCGGCUCAUCACAUCCUGGGGCUUGGAGCAGGUCCCAAGGGUUCGGCUGUCCGCCGAUUAAAGUGGUACGCGAGCUGGGUUCUGAACGUCGUGAGACAGUUCGGUCCCUAUCUGUCGUGGGCGCAGGAUAUUUGAGAGGAGCUGUCCUUAGUACGAGAGGACCGGGAUGGACAUACCGCCGGUGCAUCGGUUGUUCCGCCAGGAGCACAGCCGGGUAGCCGAGUAUGGAAGUGAUAAACGCUGAAGGCAUCUAAGCGUGAAACACACCUCAAGAUGAGAUAUCCCAUAACAAAAGUUAGUAAGGUCACUUGCAGACUACAAGUUUGAUAGGUCGGAGGUGUAAGCGUGGUAACACGUUCAGCUGACCGAUACUAAUAGACCGAGGGCUUGAUC